rnacentral:rRNA from 1 species
GUAGGGAAUAUUGGGCAAUGGAGGCAACUCUGACCCAGCCAUGCCGCGUGCAGGAUGACGGCCCUCUGGGUUGUAAACUGCUUUUAUACGGGAAGAAAAAAUACUACGUGUAGUAUACUGACGGUACCGUAAGAAUAAGGAUCGGCUAACUCCGUGCCAGCAGCCGCGGUAAUACGGAGGAUCCAAGCUGUGUCCGGAUUUAUUGGGUUUAAAGGGUGCGUAGGCGGAGCUUUAAGUCAGUGGUGAAAGCCUGCAGCUUAACUGUAGCAUUGCCAUUGAAACUGAAGAUCUUGAAUGUGGUUAAAGUAGGCGGAAUGUAUCAUGUAGCGGUGAAAUGCUUAGAUAUGAUACAGAACACCGAUAGCGAAGGCAGCUUGCUGAACCAUUAUUGACGCUGAGGCACGAAAGCGUGGGGAGCGAACAGGAUUAGAUACCCCAGUAGUCC